ensembl:snoRNA
GAAAAAUGAGGAUACUUUCAUUGCUUCUUAUUACUGUGAAGACUUCAGAUCCAACUCUGAUUUCACUCUAGUG